UACAGAGGGUGCAAGCGUUAAUCGGAAUUACUGGGCGUAAAGCGUGCGUAGUCGGUUAUUCAAGUCGGGCGUGAAAGCCCCGGGCUCAACCUGGGAAUUGCGUUCGAUACUGUUUAGCUAGAGUUCGGCAGAGGGAAGUGGAAUUUCCGGUGUAGCGGUGAAAUGCGUAGAUAUCGGAAGGAACAUCAGUGGCGAAAGCGACUUCCUGGACCAGAACUGACGAUCAGGCACGAAAGCGUGGGGAGCAAAC
rnacentral:rRNA from 1 species